rnacentral:lncRNA from 1 species
UUUGAAUUAUCAUAAGUUAUCAUUUUUAAAAUAUAAAAGAGCAAUAGCAGUAACAUCCAACAACACCAAUACCACACGUUUUGCAACACAAAAAAAAACAAGUACUCCAUAUGUUACACUCCUAAUUGCAACAUAAAAAAAAAAACAGAAACACUAAUACACCGAUUGUAACACUACUCCUCGUUUGGUUCUUCAAUGGUCUUUUGUUUCUUGAAUGGUCUUCCAUGAGAUUUGCUAGAGGUCUUAGGAACUGGCUACAGUUUACAUUUACGCUUGUUGUGUCCGGUCUGUUGACAAUUGCUACAUGUCUACACAAUAAAACAAGUCAAUUAGUCAUUUAAUCAAUUAAAAGUUUACAUCAACCAUAGUUCUACAAGAUUCAAAAUUUCAAUAGAAAACAAAAAAUUCUAUUACCUUAACAUCUUGCAAGCUCUGAAAGUUUUUGUUUCCAGAUCAGCUCGGACACUCCUUCCCGUAAUCACAAACACAUCAACCACAACUUGGACACUAUGUCCCGAAAUCAGCUAUCAGUUGGUCUCUCAAUAACGAUGUUUAAAAUUCCUGAAAUCAACUCUCAAUCAACCACGAAAUCAUGUCUGAGCAAGAGAUUCUCAAAGGUAUAAAAUUAGGAUUCGUCGAAAUUGGGGGUUUCUGAAUUGUUUUCUUCGAUUAAUAUCUUGUUGGGUCGGGAAUGAGAGCGUCUUACCAUUUUAAACUAAUGUCAUGUGGUUUGGGAGAAAGACUUGUUGUUUUCUCUCUUAACUGAAACGCAACGUUCUGGGUUAACGGUUUCUGUCUAUAAAUC